GAUGAAGAACGUAGCGAAAUGCGAUACUUGGUGUGAAUUGCAGAAUCCCGUGAACCAUCGAGUCUUUGAACGCAAGUUGCGCCCGAAGCCAUCAGGUUGAGGGCACGUCUGCCUGGGCGUCACAUAUCGUUGCCCAAUGCCUAUUGCAGUGCAAUAGGAAUUUCUAGGGCGAAUGAUGGCUUCCCGUGAGCGUUGUUGCCUCGCGGUUGGUUGAAAAUCGAGUCCUUGGUAGGGUGUGCCAUGGUAGAUGGUGGUCGAGUUAGAACGAUACCGAUCAUGUGCAUGCUCCCCAAAAUAUGGCCUCUAUGACCCACACGCGUCUUUUGACGCACAUGACGAGACCUCAGGUCAGGCGGGGCUACCCGCUGAAUUUAAGCAUAUCAAUAAGCGGAGGA
rnacentral:misc_RNA from 1 species